GGCAGGCAGCUCGGGGAAGUCCCUUCUGUGGUCGCUGGACACCUCGCAGCUCAACAGGGCGAUGAUGAGCAGCCCCGUGAUCGUCGGAGCCAUCCUCCUCCCUCGCAGAGAGAAGAAAUAGUGUGCCAAGAAUUCACGGACAGGACAUGGAGAGCAAGCCAACCUGACAGAAGUGGGAAGAGGAAUAUACACCAAAAAAUCUUACAUCCACCUUAGAGAGGGAUCAACUACAGGAGAGCAAGAGAUCAACUUUGGCUUCAUGGAAUUGGGAUUCCCUGAGAAAAUAAGAUGUGACAUCAGAGGACAGAAGAUGCUACUUAACCUGCUGAGCAACUCCAGAUUUUCUGUUUAUAAGGUUUAUGAUUAAAUAUUCUUUGAAUAUUUACAUGGAUUUUGUUUCCUC